CCUACGGGUGGCAGCAGUGGGGGAUAUUGCACAAUGGGGGGAACCCUGAUGCAGCGACGCCGCGUGGGUGAAGGAGUGCUUCGGCAUGUAAAGCCCUAUCGGCAGGGAAGAAGAAAGAAGGUACCUGACUAAGAAGCCCCGGCUAACUACGAGCCAGCAGCCGCGGUAAUACGUAGGGGGCGAGCGUUAUCCGGAUUCACUGGGUGGAAAGGGAGCGUAGAGGGCAAUGCAAGCCAGGGGUGAAAGCCCGGGGCCCAACCCAGGGACUGCCGUUGGAACUGUGCGGCUAGAGUGCGGGAGGGGCAGGCGGAAUUCCUGGUGUAGCGGUGAAAUGCAUAGAUAUCAGGAGGAACCCCGACGGCGAAGGCGGCCUGCUGGACCGCGACUGACGUUGAGGCUCGAAAGCGUGGGGAGCGAACAGGAUUAGAUACCCGUGUAGUC
rnacentral:rRNA from 1 species